GACGAACGCUGGCGGCGUGCCUAAUACAUGCAAGUAGAACGCAGUUGCGAACGGGUGAGUAACGCGUAGGUAAUUGCCUCAUAGCGGGGGAUAACUAAUGGAAACGAUAGCUAAUACCGCAUACUGUGAGAGGGACCUGGGUUGUUUUAGCUAGUUGGUGAGGUAAAGGCACACCAAGGCGACGAUACAUAGCCGAUCUGAGAGGGUAGUCGGCCACACGGGAACUGAGAAACGGACCAGACUCCUACGGGAGGCAGCAGUGGGGAAUAUUGGGCAAUGGGCGAAAGCCUGACCAAGCAAUGCCGCGUGUGUGAAGAAGGUUUUUGGACUGAAAGGUACUUUGUGUGAGAAGCGGUAACUAACCAGAAAGGGACGGCUAACUACGUGCCAGCAGCCGCGGUAAUUC
rnacentral:rRNA from 1 species